GCCGCUCCGCGAGCUCCGGGCAGCUGCCGCCGGGCCGCGCCGCGCCGCGGGGCCGCCCUGCCGGGAUGGGCGGGACGCUGCCCGCGGCCCCUGCAGCGCCCCCAGCGCUGGGGCACUGGUGAAACUGGGGACCUGAACAGAGCAUAGAUGGGGCUCGCCAGGAACCUGGCCGGCUGCAGUGCCGCCCUCUCCUACGUGCUGCUGCUGCUGCUCCACAUUGAGGUGCUGGUGCAUUCAGGGCUGGGGGAACCAGAUCCCAAGAUUAACGGGCAGUCACUGUUGGUGAGCACCAUGCAGGAGGAUGAGAGCCGGGACUUCACCUGCCAGGUGGACAGCUGGCAGGCAGUGCCCAUGCUCACCUGGUACCUGAAUGGCAAGAAGCAGGAGACCAAUGGUUCCACAGUGUUGACCACCUUGGCGGAGGCCUUUGAGCAGAGCUCCAGCACUUUCACAGUGACGGCGCAGCGCACAGACAGGGAACUGAACUGCUCACUGACAGACCCGGCCUCUGGCAAGACCUCCAACGCCUCGGUGCUCCUCAACGUGCAGUUUAAACCGGAGAUCAUGACGAUGAACGCCAAGUACCAGGAGGCCAAGGACCCGGGUCUCCUCAUGGUUCUCUUUGUCCUGGUGCGGGCCAACCCCCCAGCCAGCAUCACCUGGAUAGACCAGGAUGGGCACGUGAUGGUGAAUACGUCUGACUUCCUCAUCCUGGACACCAAGAGCUACCCCUGGCUGACCAACCAUACCGUGCAGGUGCAGCUCAGCAGUGUGGCCAAGAACUUCUCUUUCACCGCAGCCAACAAUGUGGGCAUCACCAACUCCUCCAUCCUGCCGCCGGGUCUCCUGGAUACCCGUGUGGAGCUGCCCCUCCUGGCCAUCAUCGUUGGAGGAGCCUUGGCACUGGGGACUCUCAUCUGCCUCAACACCCUCAUCAUCUGUGUCGUCUGGAGGAAGGGGAAGAAGGCGUCAGGGCUCUCUGGACCUACACCGCCGCCUCCGAGCGAUUCCAACAACCUGAAUCUGAACAGCGUGCGACUGCCACGAGAGAACAUGUCCCUCCCAUCCAACCUGCAGCUCAAUGACCUCACACAGGAGGCCAAAGCCAGCCGUGGAGACGCAGGAAUCCAGACUGAGCGGAAGGACGAUGCCCUAUCAGAGCCAGAGAACAGCCUGGGCCUUGGUAAUAGAGGUUUCGGCCGGUUCCCGAUGGUUGGGAACAUUUACAAAGUGUCCAGCAUGAGCAGUGAUGAGAUAUGGCUGUGAAUGUGUAGGCAGGACACUCCUGUGGGGGUCCAGGGUCUCCCUCAGUCUCCUGGGAUGAGUCCACUGAUCCAUCAGCACUGCAGACCCAUCCAGGAGCUGCUGUUCUCCCCAGGAUCCCAGACUACAGCAGCCAGCUCAGAACAAGCUCUCCGUGUAACCACCACCAGAACUCCAGUGGCUGAAUCUUGGACUCAUCUUGAAAUGGAAACAGCUGCAGAGAAGCAAAUCAAAGCCCAUUCCUGCAGGGAAGUCCUGGCUCCCUAGCAAUGCAGGGAGUUUGAAGGAUGUUUAAAAUGAGCCUCUCUAAAUUGCUGACUUGGAAGAUCAAGUCACUGUGCUACAGACUGGCCUUAGAGAAAGAGGUGAGAGAGAGACAGUUGCAGAGCUGCCUGGCACUUCUGGAGCAGAAAGAGCUGCAGCUUAAAUGGGAUGCUACAGAAAACAGAGCAAGAAGGAACAUCAGAAUUAAGGGACUGCCUGAAACCACUGAAGGAGGAUGUACAUUGCGAAAUUGUUAAAGCUGAGCUCACCGGAAGAGGUGAAAGUGGAGAGAGCAAAUAAAGCUCUGCUCUGUCCACUUCGGUCUCAUAAUAGACUCAGAGAUCUGAUUGUGAAAUUUCAUCAUUAUCAGCAGAAAGCUUUAAUUAUAAAAAAACAGAGCAUUCAGAGCUUUUAUUCAAAGGCCUCAGUUUUUCCAUAACCUCUGUGCUCUUACUUUAAAAGAGAGAAGAGAGCUGGGGGAAAUUACAGCAGCACUCAGGAGGCCAGAUACCCACUAUAGACGGGGAUCGCAUUUACACUGAUCUGUGGCCAUAGAGACAUACUUGGAGAUUUUCUGGGUGAAAGUGCAGACGUUCACAGUGCUCCUUCCAAGCAUACGGACAGGUCAAAGGGGGGUGGGCUCCCAUAUACCAAAGCCUGCCAGGUCCGUGGGGAGGAUGCAUGUGAGAUUGGGUGAUUCACCGAGACAUUUGGGAAAUUAGACCACCUGGUGAGCCUAAUCGAUUUUUAGUCAGUGCUCCUGGGAUAACACCGGACAUUUGGAUGGGGUUAGGGAGUCAAUGGACAUUUUGGCCGUUAGAACCUCCACAGCUUCAGUGUAUAUGUAAACUGAAGCCAGGGGAAGUUGUCACAGUUCAUGACAACGUUUGCUGGGAGGGUAGGGGACAAGGAACUACCCUGACAGGACACCUACUUUUUCAAGCUAAUGAUAGCUGUGUGUAUGUUGAAGCCACCACGUUGCGAGAUAUACAUUUUAAUCUCACUACUGCAACAGGCAAUUAUAUUAUUUACUGGCCUGCGGACAGUUUUACAAGUAGCCCUUAGGUUUCAGAUACCCUUCAAUUGGACUAGCUUAGUACCUGAUCGAUUUCAAAAUUUGCUUUCACUGUUACCAGAGGUUCAAAGAAUCUCUGAAUUACAAGGGCAAAUUCACAUGCUUCAAAAUAUAUAUCAAGUUGAAAAGUAUGCCUUUCAUACAGCUUAUAGAGGGUCUACUUUAUGUACUAAGUAUGAUGUAUUGUGCUUUGUGACUAAAACUGUACAACAACCCCAUCAUAUUACUACUAUGGGAAUGUUACUGCUUGUAUUGUUGUUGUUUAGUUUAGGAUUAUGUUAUUGUUGUUGUAAAGGACGUAAUAAUAGUAAUACUUUUCAUGUCCAUGCUAAUCAUGCAUUGUCAUUGCAUCCAAUCAACAACCCUUUAGAUUGAAGUAUUUGAUGUAGAAUCUGCCAUCCAAGGCUUGAUACAAAUGGAGGUUUAAGGAUGUUAGUUGUGCUAGACGCACAAAAGGGGGUAUGUGGAAGUAGAGCAAGAACUGACAGGGAUUUGAAGGGGAUUUCUAUGCAAACAGUCUCCUCUGUGAGCAAGAGUCAGGCUAGCUGUAAUCCUAACAAUGCGAGAUUUGUAGAAGCGAGCAUUGUGUGAGGCGAGUGGGAAAGGACUGUGUGAGAAGUUGUUGCAACCUUGAGUUAGAUAAGUAUGGAAUGUAGACUAUAGUUUAAAUUGGUGAGAAAAAGAAGAUAUCAGGAUGACCUAUGUAUAAACAAAAUGCAGCUGUUGCUUAUUAUUGUAUGUAACCAAAGGUAUAAAUGCUUGUUGUAAUUGUUUACCUGUAGAGAGACCUGUUUAGCUCUCUCCCUCCACGCAAUUGCUAGAGAUAAUAAAGUAUCUGACUUGCUGCACCCAA